UACAGAGGGUGCGAGCGUUGUUCGGAAUUAUUGGGCGUAAAGGGCGCGUAGGCGGUGCGGUAAGUCACCUGUGAAAUCUCCUGGCUCAACUGGGAGUCUGCAGGCGAAACUGCCGUGCUGGAGUACUGGAGAGGAGAUUGGAAUUUACGGUGUAGCAGUGAAAUGCGUAGAUAUCGUAAGGAAGACCAGUGGCGAAGGCGAAUCUCUGGACAGUUACUGACACUGAGGCACGAAGGCCAGGGGAGCAAACGGG
rnacentral:rRNA from 1 species